AGCAUUAAGAGGAAUACCUAAUGUAGAUGAUGAGUUGAUGGGUGCAGCAGACCACUAUGGUACAUGUUUACCUAUGUAACAAACCUGCACAUCCUGCACAUGUAUCCCAGAACUUAAAA